rnacentral:misc_RNA from 1 species
GAUGAAGAACGUAGCGAAAUGCGAUAAGUAAUGUGAAUUGCAGAAUUCAGUGAAUCAUCGAAUCUUUGAACGCACAUUGCGCCCGCCAGUAUUCUGGCGGGCAUGCCUGUUCGAGCGUCAUUACAACCCUCAGGCCCCCGGGCCUGGCGUUGGGGAUCGGCGGAGCCCCCCGUGGGCACACGCCGUCCCCCAAAUACAGUGGCGGUCCCGCCGCAGCUUCCAUCGCGUAGUAGCUAACACCUCGCGACUGGAGAGCGGCGCGGCCACGCCGUAAAACCCCCAACUCUUCUGAAGUUGACCUCGAAUCAGGUAGGAAUACCCGCUGAACUUAAGCAUAUCAAUAAGCGGAGGA